rnacentral:rRNA from 1 species
GAUGAACGCUAGCUACAGGCUUAACACAUGCAAGUCGAGGGGCAGCACUAGGGAGCAAUACUGAGGUGGCGACCGGCGCACGGGUGCGUAACGCGUAUCCAACCUUCCCGUUACUCUUGGAUAGCCUUCCGAAAGGGAGAUUAAUACAAGAUGGUGUUUCAAUUCCGCAUGUUAUUGAAACUAAAGAUUUAUCGGUAUCGGAUGGGGACGCGUGACAUUAGAUAGUAGGCGGGGUAACGGCCCACCUAGUCUACGAUGUCUAGGGGUUCUGAGAGGAAGGUCCCCCACACUGGAACUGAGACACGGUCCAGACUCCUACGGGAGGCAGCAGUGAGGAAUAUUGGUCAAUGGUCGGAAGACUGAACCAGCCAAGUAGCGUGAAGGAUGAAGGUUCUAUGGAUUGUAAACUUCUUUUAUACGGGAAUAAAACACCUUACGUGUAGGGUCUUGUAUGUACCGUAUGAAUAAGCAUCGGCUAACUCCGUGCCAGCCGCCGCGGUAACAC